GGAUAACCUGCCCUUGGGUCCGGCAUAACCCCGGGAAACUGGGGAUAAUUCCGGAUAACGCACAUAUGCUGGAAUGCUUUAUGCGUAAAAUGGAUUCGUCUGCCCAAGGAUGGGUCUGCGGCCUAUCAGGUAGUAGUGGGUGUAAUGUACCUACUAGCCUACAACGGGUACGGGUUGUGAGAGCAAGAGCCCGGAGAUGGAUUCUGAGACAUGAAUCCAGGCCCUACGGGGCGCAGCAGGCGCGAAAACUUUACAAUGCGGGAAACCGUGAUAAGGGGACACCGAGUGCCAGCAUCAUAUGCUGGCUGUCCAGAUGUGUAAAAUACAUCUGUUAGCAAGGGCCGGGCAAGACCGGUGCCAGCCGCCGCGGUAACACCGGCGGCCCGAGUGGUGAUCGUGAUUAUUGGGUCUAAAGGGUCCGUAGCCGGUUUGGUCAGUCCUCCGGGAAAUCUGAUGGCUCAACCAUUAGGCUUUCGGGGGAUACUGCCAGGCUUGGAACCGGGAGAGGUAAGAGGUACUACAGGGGUAGGAGUGAAAUCUUGUAAUCCCUGUGGGACCACCUGUGGCGAAGGCGUCUUACCAGAACGGGUUCGACGGUGAGGGACGAAAGCUGGGGGCACGAACCGGAUUAGAUACCCGGGUAGUCCCAGCCGUAAACGAUGCUCGCUAGGUGUCAGGCAUGGCGCGACCGUGUCUGGUGCCGCAGGGAAGCCGUGAAGCGAGCCACCUGGGAAGUACGGCCGCAAGGCUGAAACUUAA
rnacentral:rRNA from 1 species